CCUUUCCUUGGCGGGAUUAAAUUCCAUCUGGUAUUUUGCCUCACAACUAGGGUACGGGUAUUGCGAGGUUGCACUGAAAUUGGGCUGAAGUCUGUAAAGACAAAGAGUAAAGGUGGCCAACGUUUGGAGCAGUUUCUGCAAAGCAAGCUGAAUUAGUCAUUUUCCAAUAGGAUCGAUACCUAGGGACAUCAACAAGCUGGGAGGCUGGGCACACCAGAGCGUUGGGAUCUAAGAUUUGCUGGAGAUUUGAGGAGGAGGUGGAAACUAUUGGCUCUAACGACAUUUCUGAAGAUCUGUCUGAAAUUUUCAUGCUAUUCCUGUCCCCCACUGCCAUGGAUAAUUGAAAGCUGGCUGUAGCGUGGCACUCCAUAUUCAGACUUGGAUUCACCAACAUGGUGACUUACUAAAGCAAAAAAUAGACUUUUCGCAUUUGCAAGUCAAUAAUGAGGGGAAUGAACAGGAGCACAAGGACCCUCUCGUGUAUCCUGUUAAUAAGAAAUCUGCUUCUGUGUUUCUA